rnacentral:rRNA from 1 species
UACGGGGGGAGCAAGCGUUGUUCGGAUUUACUGGGCGUAAAGGGCGCGUAGGCGGCCACCGCAAGUCGACUGUGAAAUCUCCGGGCUUAACCCGGAAAGGUCAGCCGAUACUGCGGGGCUAGAGUGCAGAAGGGGCAACUGGAAUUCUCGGUGUAGCGGUGAAAUGCGUAGAUAUCGAGAGGAACACCUGCGGCGAAGGCGGUUCUCUGGGCAUUACCUGACGCUGAGGAGCGAAAGUGUGGGGAGCGAACAGG